rnacentral:rRNA from 1 species
UACGUAGGUGGCAAGCGUUGUCCGGAUUUACUGGGCGUAAAGAGCGCGCAGGCGGUCGUUCAAGUCGCGUGUGAAAGCCCCUGGCUUAACUGGGGAAGUGCACCCGAAACUGGGUAGCUAGAGUGCAAAAGAGGGUCGCGGAAUUCCCGGUGUAGAGGUGAAAUUCGUAGAUAUCGGGAGGAACACCAGUGGCGAAGGCGACUACCUGGCCUGUUCUUGACGCUGAGGCGCGAAAGCUAGGGGAGCAAACGGG